UACGAAGGGGGCUAGCGUUGUUCGGAUUUACUGGGCGUAAAGCGCGCGUAGGCGGAUUGCUAAGUCAGGGGUGAAAUCCUGGAGCUCAACUCCAGAACUGCCUUUGAUACUGGCGACCUUGAGUCCGGGAGAGGUGAGUGGUACUGCGAGUGUAGAGGUGAAAUUCGUAGAUAUUCGCAAGAACACCAGUGGCGAAGGCGGCUCACUGGCCCGGUACUGACGCUGAGGUGCGAAAGCGUGGGGAGCAAACAGG
rnacentral:rRNA from 1 species